rnacentral:rRNA from 1 species
GCAGGCUGCAACCCGCCUGCAUGAAGCCGGAAUCGCUAGUAAUCGCGGAUCAGAAUGCCGCGGUGAAUACGUUCCCGGGUCUUGUACACACCGCCCGUCACACCAUGGGAGUCGGGAAUGCCCGAAGCCGGCGGCCUAACCGAAAGGGGGGAGCCGUCGAAGGCAGGCCCGGUGACUGGGGUGAAGUCGUAACAAGGUAGC